rnacentral:rRNA from 1 species
AUGCGUAGAGAUCUGGAGGAAUACCGGUGGCGAAGGCGGCCCCCUGGACAAAGACUGACGCUCAGGUGCGAAAGCGUGGGGAGCAAACAGGAUUAGAUACCCUGGUAGUCCACGCCGUAAACGAUGUCUACUUGGAGGUUGUGCCCUUGAGGCGUGGCUUCCGGAGCUAACGCGUUAAGUAGACCGCCUGGGGAGUACGGCCGCAAGGUUAAAACUCAAAUGAAUUGACGGGGGCCCGCACAAGCGGUGGAGCAUGUGGUUUAAUUCGAUGCAACGCGAAGAACCUUACCUGGUCUUGACAUCCACAGAACUUUCCAGAGAUGGAUUGGUGCCUUCGGGAACUGUGAGACAGGUGCUGCAUGGCUGUCGUCAGCUCGUGUUGUGAAAUGUUGGGUUAAGUCCCGCAACGAGCGCAAC